AAAAAUUUCAUAAUUAAUAUUUUAAAUUUUAAAUAUAAAAGUUAAUUAUUUUAUAUUUUAUAUAUUUUUUUAUUUUUUUGAAAUGAUCUCAGAUAGAAAUAUAAAGCAAUUGAGUUUCGAACUUAAGACCCCAUGUGCCAACAUAAAAUACUUAGGAAAAAACUUCAAAUACCAUUUCUGUGGUUUCACACUUUCUCACUUUAGUACCCUGCGGUUUAAAGUAUAUCAAUUUAGUGUCACGUGGUUUUAUUUUUAUUUUUUAUUAUCAAUUCCACUAAUUUUUUUCAUUAAAUCAAUGAAAAAAAUUAAAACUAGAGGGUAUUAAAGUAAAUAUUCGAUAAAUCUAGAUGAUGUAUCUGAAGUUUUUUUGUAUAUAAUUUAACAAAAUAUUAACAGAAAAACUGACGAAAAGAUAAAAAUAAAACCGUAGGAUACUAAUUUGAUACACUUUAAACCACAUGGCACUUAAAUGAGAAAUUGCGAAACCACAAAGACGGUAUUUGAAAUUUACCCAAUACUUAGUCGAAUCUCUUAAUUGUUAAAAUGCGUGCACUGGUUUUCGAAGUUAUGUGUGUGUUGGUAUGUAUGCGCGCGCGCGCGCGCGAGAGAGAGAGAGAGAGAGAGAGUAGUGUCUUUUUUAAAGAGAAAGUUGGUAUCUGAGGUCUUUAAGCUUGGAAUUUAAAAUCUCGAAUAUCAAUCAUUAAAUUUUUUUGCCACCGCACUAGGAAUG
rnacentral:lncRNA from 1 species